rnacentral:rRNA from 1 species
UACGGAGGGUGCAAGCGUUAUCCGGAUUCACUGGGUUUAAAGGGUGCGUAGGCGGGCAUGUAAGUCCGUGGUGAAAUCUCCGAGCUUAACUCGGAAACUGCCAUGGAUACUAUGUGUCUUGAAUGUUGUGGAGGUGAGUGGAAUAUGUCAUGUAGCGGUGAAAUGCUUAGAUAUGACAUAGAACACCAAUUGCGAAGGCAGCUCACUACACAAAUAUUGACGCUGAGGCACGAAAGCGUGGGGAUCAAACAGG